UACGUAGGGGGCAAGCGUUGUCCGGAUUUAUUGGGCGUAAAGAGCUCGUAGGCGGCUUGGCAAGUCGGGUGUGAAAACUUCAGGCUCAACCUGGAGCGGCCACUCGAUACUGCUAUGGCUUGAGUCCGGUAGGGGACCACGGAAUUCCUGGUGUAGCGGUGAAAUGCGCAGAUAUCAGGAGGAACACCAGUGGCGAAGGCGGUGGUCUGGGCCGGAACUGACGCUGAGGAGCGAAAGCUAGGGGAGCAAACAGG
rnacentral:rRNA from 1 species